rnacentral:rRNA from 1 species
CCUACGGGUGGCUGCAGUGGGGAAUAUUGGACAAUGGGGGGAACCCUGAUCCAGCCAUGCCGCGUGUGUGAAGAAGGCCUUUUGGUUGUAAAGCACUUUAAGCGAGGAGGAGGCUACUCUAGUUAAUACCUAGGGAUAGUGGACGUUACUCGCAGAAUAAGCACCGGCUAACUCUGUGCCAGCAGCCGCGGUAAUACAGAGGGUGCGAGCGUUAAUCGGAUUUACUGGGCGUAAAGCGUGCGUAGGCGGCUUUUUAAGUCGGAUGUGAAAUCCCUGAGCUUAACUUAGGAAUUGCAUUCGAUACUGGGAAGCUAGAGUAUGGGAGAGGAUGGUAGAAUUCCAGGUGUAGCGGUGAAAUGCGUAGAGAUCUGGAGGAAUACCGAUGGCGAAGGCAGCCAUCUGGCCUAAUACUGACGCUGAGGUACGAAAGCAUGGGGAGCAAACAGGAUUAGAUACCCCAGUAGUC